AACGUCGUGAGACAGUUCGGUCCCUAUCCGUCGUGGGCGUAGGAAAUUUGAGAGGAGCUGUCCUUAGUACGAGAGGACCGGGAUGGACAUACCUCUGGUGUACCAGUUGUCGUGCCAACGGCAUAGCUGGGUAGCUAUGUGUGGACGGGAUAAGUGCUGAAAGCAUCUAAGCAUGAAGCCCCCCUCAAGAUGAGAUUUCCCAACUUCGGUUAUAAGAUCCCUCAAAGAUGAUGAGGUUAAUAGGUUCGAGGUGGAAGCAUGGUGACAUGUGGAGCUGACGA
rnacentral:rRNA from 1 species